rnacentral:rRNA from 11 species
ACUGUCUGCUUGAAUACCCUAAAGACCAGAUCCUGUCUGAUCUUUAAAGCUAAGUAGAGGUCAGCUCUGGUUAGUAUUUGAAUGGGAGACUCCCCAAAAAUACUAGCUGCCGUUAGCU